GGCGGACGGGUGAGUAACGCGUAAAGAACUUGCCCUUUAGGCUGGGAUAACAGAGGGAAACUUCUGAUAAUACUGGAUAAGUUAGUAUAUCGCAUGAUAUGCAAAUGAAAGCUACGGCACUAAAGGAGAGCUUUGCGUCCUAUUAGCUAGUUGGUAAGGUAAGAGCUUACCAAGGCGAUGAUAGGUAGCCGGCCUGAGAGGGUGGACGGCCACAAGGGGACUGAGAUACGGCCCUUACUCCUACGGGAGGCAGCAGCC
rnacentral:rRNA from 1 species